AAAAUCGAAAUCGGUAACGUCUGAUAAUGUCACUUUACCUUUAGAUUUAUUCCCAACCCGACGGAGACACAGUGUCCGUUAUCUGCAAAGGCGCAAGCGGGGCAAGAGACGGUGAGAAUUGAGAUUGCGUAGCGAUAGUCAAGUUUCACUGGAAGUUCUUGUUGAAAAUGUAUCAAUGCUUGUCAAAAUGCCGUAUGUUUAUUAGAUAUUCAGCAGCUCUGAAAAAUGAUCAAUUUACUGGAGAAGUUUUCUAUCUGUGUGGGUGUGUAGCUCAAUAUGAACAAUUAAAAAAUUAAAGUAUACAUCCAAAUGAAUAAUUGAAAUACACCAAACAAAUUAUGAA